UGGGGAAUUUUGGACAAUGGGCGAAAGCCUGAUCCAGCAAUGCCGCGUGUGUGAAGAAGGCCUUCGGGUUGUAAAGCACUUUCAGCGAGGAGGAAGGUGGUGAGCUUAAUACGCUCAUCAAUUGACGUUACUCGCAGAAGAAGCACCGGCUAACUCCGUGCCAGCAGCCGCGGUAAUACGGAGGGUGCAAGCGUUAAUCGGAAUUACUGGGCGUAAAGCGCACGCAGGCGGUUUGUUAAGUCAGAUGUGAAAUCCCCGGGCUCAACCUGGGAACUGCAUUUGAAACUGGCAAGCUAGAGUCUCGUAGAGGGGGGUAGAAUUCCAGGUGUAGCGGUGAAAUGCGUAGAGAUCUGGAGGAAUACCGGUGGCGAAGGCGGCCCCCUGGACGAAGACUGACGCUCAGGUGCGAAAGCGUGGGGAGCAAAACAGGAUUAGAUACCCUGGUAGUCCACGCUGUAAAACGAUGUCGAUUUUGGAGGUUGUGCCCUUGAGGCGUGGCUUCCGGAGCUAACGCGUUAAAUCGACCGCCUGGGGAGUACGGCCGC
rnacentral:rRNA from 1 species